rnacentral:rRNA from 1 species
GGAGCCAUGACACAGGUGGUGCAUGGCCGUCGUCAGCUCGUGUCGUGAGAUGUUGGGUUAAGUCCCGCAACGAGCGCAACCCUUGUUGCUAGUUACCAACGCGUUAUGGCGGGGACUCUAGCGAGACUGCCGGUGACAAACCGGAGGGAGGUGGGGAUGACGUCAGGUCAUCACGCCCCUUACGACCAGGGCUACACACGUACUACAAUGCACGGUACAGCGGGAGGCAAUGCAGCAAUGCGGAGCAAAUCCCUUAAAACCGUGCCAAGUUCAGAUCGAGGGUUGCAAUUCACCCUCGUGAAGCUGGAAUCGCUAGUAAACGUGGAUCAGCAUGCCACGUUGAAUACGUUCUCGGGCCUUGUACACACCGCCCGUCACACCAUGGGAGCCCGUAACACCCGAAGCCGGUGAGCUAUCCGCAAGGAGGCAGCUGUCGAAGGUGGGACUGGUGACUGGGGUGAAGUCGUAAUCAAGGUAACCGUA